AUUGAACGCUGGCGGCAUGCCUUACACAUGCAAGUCGAACGGUAACAGGUCUUCGGAUGCUGACGAGUGGCGAACGGGUGAGUAAUGCAUCGGAACGUGCCAUUGAGUGGGGGAUAACGUAGCGAAAGUUACGCUAAUACCGCAUAUUCUCUCCGGAGGAAAGCAGGGGAUCGUAAGACCUUGCGCUCUUUGAGCGGCGGAUGUCGGAUUAGCUAGUUGGUGAGGUAAAGGCUCACCAAGGCUACGAUCCGUAGCGGGCCUGAGAGGAUGAUUCGCCACACUGGGACUGAGACACGGCCCAGACUCCUACGGGAGGCAGAAGUGGGGAAUUUUGGACAAUGGGCGCAAGCCUGAUCCAGCCAUGCCGCGUGAGUGAAGAAGGCCUUCGGGUUGCAAAGCUCUUUCAGCCGGGAAGAAAACGCAUGGGUUAAUACCCUGUGCGGAUGACGGUACCGGAAUAAGAAGCACCGGCUAACUACGUGCCAGCAGCCGCCGCAG
rnacentral:rRNA from 1 species